rnacentral:rRNA from 1 species
CCACCGAGAUCUACACUCUUUCCCUACACGACGCUCUUCCGAUCUGACACCGCGUGUGGGAAGACGCUCUUCGGAGUGUAAACCACUGUGGCAGGGGAACAAUUUUUGAGGGUACCCUGCUAGAAAGCACCUGCUAACUACGUGCCAGAAGCCUCGGUAAUACGUAGGGUGCAAGCAUUAUCCGGAUUUAUUGGGCGUAAAGCGUCCGUCGGCGUUUUAUUAAGUUUUAACUUUAAUACUGGAGCUUAACUCCAGAUACAGGUUAAAAUACUGGUAGAAUUGAGUUUACUAGGGGGAGCUGGAAUUCUCGGUGGAGGGGUGAAAUCCGUAGAUAUCGAGAGGAACACCAUUCGCGAAGGCGGGCUCCUGGAGUAUAACUGACGCUCAGGGACGAAAGUCUGGGUAGCAAAAGGGAUUAGAGACCCCUGUAGUCCAGACCGUAAACGAUCCUUGCUAAUUGCUUGAUUCUUCGAAUUGAGUGAUGUAAGCUAACGCGUUAAGCAAGGCGCCUGGGGAUUACGACCGCAAGGUUAAAACUCAAAGGAAUUGACGGGGGAGCGCACAACCGGUGGAGCAUGUGGUUUAAUUCGAUACAAAGCGAAAAACCUUACCUGGGUUUGACAUGUAACUGCACGGUCUAGGAAACUAGAUCUUCUUCGAGAGUGUUACACAGGUGUUGCAUGGCUGUCGUCAGCUCGUGUCGUGAGGCGUCCACUUAAGUGUGGUAACGAGCGCAACCCUUAUCCCGUGUUACAAGUGUCACGGGAGACUGCCUUGCUUUUUGCAGGGAGGAAGGAGAGGAUGACGUCAAGUCAGCACGACCCUUACAUCCAGGGCGACACACAUCCUACAAUGGAGCCGACAACGGGUAGCGAAGCCGCAAGGUGGAGCCAAUCCUUUAAACGGCCCCUCAGUUCAGAUUGUUCUCUGCAAUUCGAGAGCAUGAAGUCGGAAUCGGUAGUAAUCGCAAAUCAGCAGGUUGCGGUGAAUACGUUCUCGCUCCUUGUACACACUGCCCGUCAAACCAGCAAAGUUAGUAGCGCCCGAAGCGGGUGACCGUAACUCGCAAGAGAACGGCCCUUCUACGGCGAGAUUAGCGAUGAGGGUUAAGUCGUAACAAGGUAUCGGUACUGGAAGGUGCCGAUG